AUUGAACGCUGGCGGCAGGCCUAACACAUGCAAGUCGAACGAGUGGCGGACGGGUGAGUAAUGUCUGGGAAACUGCCUGAUGGAGGGGGAUAACUACUGGAAACGGUAGCUAAUACCGCAUACCAUCGGAUGUGCCCAGAUGGGAUUAGCUUGUAGGUGAGGUAACGGCUCACCUAGGCGACGAUCCCUAGCUGGUCUGAGAGGAUGACCACACAGACUGGAACUGAGACACGGGCCAGACUCCUACGGAAGGCAGGAGCGGGGAAUAUUGCACAAUGGGCGCAAGCCUGAUGCAGCCAUGCCGCGUGUAUGGAGAAGGCCUUCGGGUUGUAAAGUACUGUCAGCGGGGAGGCGUUACCCGCAGAAGAAGCACCGGCUAACUCCGUGCCAGCCGCCGCGGUAAUAC
rnacentral:rRNA from 1 species